UGCUUCUUAAUAAAUUUUUUUCUCAUCUUCUUGAUUUCACAUCCAAGAUUCCAUAUCCAAAUUUUAACCCAAAAUUUUAUUUGGAAUCCAAAUCAAUAAUGAAAUGUACUCAAUAAUUACGAACUUUACAUUCCAAAAUUUCAAAUGUCAGGAAAUCUUUUUAAGAUUCUUGAAUUUACGGAAAACAUACUUGUAUAUACUUUUAAAUAGAAGACCAUACUGAAUCCCUGGUUUAAAACAAUAAAAAAAUCUGUUUCACGCUACUUGGACUUCGAUAAUUUAUUCUAUUAAUUUGCAUUGAGAUGGCUCCGAGACAGACAGUUUUCAAUGCUUAUGAAAUAAAACCUAGAAACCGAUUCCACAGAAGUAUCAUGAGAUUAGUCUUGUUAGCCAAUCUCCGAAGAAGAGCCCGUAUAUUAGA